AACGGUGAAAGCAAGAAAAGGUGGUUUUCUGUGCUGGAUAUUCGCCAGAAAAAAGAGAUUUUUCACUUUUUCUCUCUUUUUUGUGAUCUCCAUUGUGGACAAAAAACGGUUCUAUUGCUGUACUGUAAUUGACACAAUUUUUGUGUCCAACAUUCACGUUAAAGGUAAGUUUGAUGUCUAAGAUUAAAGGUAGCGUUAAGUGGUUCAAUGAAUCCAAAGGUUUCGGCUUCAUUACCCCAGAAGAUGGUAGCAAGGACGUUUUUGUUCAUUUUUCUGCCAUCGCUAGCAAUGGUUUCAAAACGCUUGCUGAAGGCCAGCGUGUAGAAUUUGAAAUCACGAACGGUGCCAAAGGGCCAUCUGCUGCUAAUGUUAUCGCUAUCUAAGUAGCCCAUAUCUUUAAAAACCCGCCUUACUGGGCGGGUUUUUUAU
rfam:Yersinia pestis CO92 complete genome